GACGUAGGGUGCGAGCGUUGUCCGGAUUUAUUGGGCGUAAAGAGCUCGUAGGCGGCUCGUCGCGUCGUCCGUGAAAACCCGCGGCUUAACCGCGGGCUUGCGGUUGAUACGGGCGGGCUAGAGUUCGGUAGGGGGAGACUGGAAUUCCUGGUGUAGCGGUGAAAUGCGCAGAUAUCAGGAGGAACACCGGUGGCGAAGGCGGUCUCUGGGCCUGAUCUGACGCUGAGGAGCGAAAGCGUGGGGAGCGAACAGG
rnacentral:rRNA from 1 species